CCUACGGGCGGCAGCAGUGGGGAAUAUUGCACAAUGGGGGAAACCCUGAUGCAGCGACGCCGCGUGAGUGAAGAAGUAUCUCGGUACGUAAAGCUCUAUCAGCAGGGAAGAAAAUGACGGUACCUGACUAAGAAGCCCCGGCUAACUACGUGCCAGCAGCCGCGGUAAUACGUAGGGGGCAAGCGUUCUCCGGAUUUACUGGGUGUAAAGGGAGCGUAGACGGCAGCACAAGUCUGGAGUGAAAUCCCGGGGCUUAACCCCGGAACUGCUUUGGAAACUGUGCGGCUGGAGUGCAGGAGGGGUAAGCAGAAGUCCAAGUGUAGCGGUGAAAUGCGUAGAGAUUAGGAGGAACACCGGUGGCGAAGGCGGCUUACUGGACUAUAACUGACGUUGAGGCGCGAAAGCGUGGGGAGCAAACAGGAUUAGAUACCCGGGUAGUC
rnacentral:rRNA from 1 species